GACGAAGGAUGCAAGCGUUAUCCGGAUUCAUUGGGUUUAAAGGGAGCGUAGGUGGACUUGUAAGUCAGUGGUGAAUCUUUGGGCUUAACCCAGAAACUGCCAUUGAUACUGCAGGUCUAGAGUACAGUUGCCGUUGGCGGAAUAUGACAUGUAGUGGUGAAAUACUUAGAUAUGUCAUAGAACACCGAUUGCGAAGGCAGCUAACGAAGCUGUAACUGACACUGAGGCUCGAAAAGUGCGGGGAUCAAACAGG
rnacentral:rRNA from 1 species